rnacentral:rRNA from 1 species
GAGUUUGAUCCUGGCUCAGAUUGAACGCUGGCGGCAUGCCUUACACAUGCAAGUCGAACGGCAGCACGGGAGCUUGCUCCUGGUGGCGAGUGGCGAACGGGUGAGUAAUGCAUCGGAACGUAUCCUGGAGUGGGGGAUAACGUAGCGAAAGUUACGCUAAUACCGCAUAUUCUGUGAGCAGGAAAGCGGGGGACCUUCGGGCCUCGCGCUCUUGGAGCGGCCGAUGUCGGAUUAGCUAGUUGGUGAGGUAAAGGCUCACCAAGGCGACGAUCCGUAGCAGGUCUGAGAGGAUGAUCUGCCGCACUGGAACUGAGACACGGUCCAGACUCCUACGGGAGGCAGCAGUGGGAAUUUUGGACAAUGGGGGCAACCCUGAUCCAGCCAUGCCGCGUGAGUGAAGAAGGCCUCGG